UAUUUUCCUUUUUUGCCAGCAGCCGCGGUAAUACGGAAGGUCCGGGCGUUAUCCGGAUUUAUUGGGUUUAAAGGGAGCGUAGGCCGGAGAUUAAGCGUGUUGUGAAAUGUAGACGCUCAACGUCUGCACUGCAGCGCGAACUGGUUUUCUUGAGUACGCACAAAGUGGGCGGAAUUCGUGGUGUAGCGGUGAAAUGCUUAGAUAUCACGAAGAACUCCGAUUGCGAAGGCAGCUCACUGGAGCGCAACUGACGCUGAAGCUCGAAAGUGCGGGUAUCGAACAGG
rnacentral:rRNA from 1 species